rnacentral:tRNA from 1 species
GGAUGUAGAUCAGUAGGUAGAGUGCUUGCCUUGCAUGCAGAAGGCUUUGGGUUCGAUCCCCAGCACCA